ensembl:lncRNA
CAACUGCAACAACAAACACAGCAGGUGCCACAACAACCACAGUUGCUCCAACAACAGCCGAAGCCACCACGUCAACCACAGCACUUCCCACAACAACUACAACUGCCACAACAACCAUAGAACAUUCCACGUCAACAACAACUGCACCCACGUCAACCACAGAUACAGCCACAACAACUACAACAACCACACCUGCUCCAACAACAACUACAGCUCUAACCACUACAGCUGCAGCCACGACAACAACAGCUCAAACAUCAACCACUACUGAUGUCUCAUCAACUACACCUGCUCCAACAUCAACAACAACUGCAACAACAAACAUGGCAGGUGCCACAACAACCACAGUUGCUCCAACAUCAACAUCGGCAACCACGUCAAUCACAGCACUUCCCACAACAACUGCAGCUGCCACAACAACCACAGAACAUGCCACAUCAACUACAACUGCACCCACUUCAACCACAGAUACAGCCACAACAACUACAUCUGCCAGUACAACAACCACACCUGCUCCAACAACAACUACAGCUGUCUCAUCAACUACACCUGCUCCAACAACAACUGCAACAACAAACACGGCAGGUGCCACAACAACCACAGUUGCUCCAACAGCAGCAACCACAUCAACCACAGCACUUCCCACAACAACAACUACAACUGCCACAAAAACCACAGAACCUGCCACAUCAACUACAACUGCACCCACGUCAACUACAGAUACAGCCACAACAACUACAUCUGCCACUACAACAACCACAGCUGCAACUACUACAACAACAGCUCAAACAUCAACCACUACAGCUGUCUCAUCAACUACACCUGCUCCAACAUCAACAACAACUGCAACAACAAACACAGCAGGUGCCACAACAACCACAGUUGCUCCAACAACAACCGAAGCCACCACGUCAACCACAGCACUUCCCACAACAACUACAACUGCCACAACAACCAUAGAACAUUCCACGUCAACAACAACUGCACCCACGUCAACCACAGAUACAGCCACAACAACUACAACAACCACACCUGCUCCAACAACAACUACAGCUCUAACCACUACAGCUGCAGCCACUACAACAACAGCUCAAACAUCAACCACUACUGAUGUCUCAUCAACUACACCUGCUCCAACAUCAACAACAACUGCAACAACAAACAUGGCAGGUGCCACAACAACCACAGUUGCUCCAACAUCAACAUCGGCAACCACGUCAACCACAGCACUUCCCUCAACAACUACAACUGCCACAACAACCACAGAACCUGCCACAUCAACAACAACUGCACCCACGUCAACUACAGAUACAGCCACAACAACUAUAUCUGCCACUACAACAACCACAGCUGCAACUACUACAACAACGGCUCAAACAUCAACCACUACAGCUUUCUCAUCAACUACACCUGCACCAACAACAACUGCGACAUCAACAACAACUGCAACAACAAACAUGGCAGGUGUCACAGCAACCACAUCUGCCACUACAACAACCACAUCUGCUCCAACAACAAUUACAGCUUCAACAACUACAACAACAGCUCAAACAUCAACCACUACAGCUGUCUCAUCAACUACACCUACUCCAACAUUAACAACUGCUGCAACAACAAACACUGCAGGUACCACAGAAAUCACGGUUCCUUCAACAACAAACUUGGCAGGUGCCACGUCAACCACAGCACUAACCCCAACUACUGCAGCCACAACUGCAACUACAGACUCAACAGCAAAGCCUACAGCAAAUGAGGGGUCAGUGGAAUUAGGAUUUAGAAUGAUCCGUACAUUCAUGGAUGAUUAUUCCAACUCUUCUACCACAGCAUAUCAGGAACUGGCAGCAAAUGUUACUACGGAGGUGAAUCGUGGUUACAAAAUAUUAUACCCCUUAACUUACCUAAGGUCUAGGAUCCUACAAUUCACGAGUGGCUCUGUUAUUGUCAACAUGACCCUUGUUUUUGUAAACCAGACAGUGGUUCCCAAUGUAACAAGUGUAAAGCAGGGAUUGGCCCUGUCUCUGGCUGAUGAUCACACCUUCUUAAAUGUUGAUCCAACCUCCAUUAGUGCAUCCACAACAACUGCUACCAUCACAGCCUCAACUACAGCCCCAACUACAGCAGGUCCAGCCUCAGUGGCCAGUAACUCAGGAGUCAACACCUUGACAAUCAACAGGUGGAUUGCAAUUUGGCUACCCAUACUCUUUACUACGCUAACAAGAUGGUCUCUUGAAUUGUGAAUUAAAAGACAUUAACAGAGCAACAACACUAUUUAUAUUAAAGUGAAGACUAAUGGAAAUUGACAUAGAAAGUUGUACUGCCUGCCUUAUUUAUAAUUUUCCAGAGGAGAAAUCAAAAUUGUACAAUGUUUUUUUUCCAUUUUCUGAUUCCAAUUUUCUAUUCCCGGUGGUUCACUGAUGUGAUAUUAUAUGAAGCAAAUUGAGUAUGCUCAAACUAUAAUAACCUAUUUUUACAUGCUACUUAAUGCUAAUGCUGUUAAAACUGCUGGGCAGAUUACAGUAUCCUCUUUAGUACUUUGAUUAAGACAUGAUGUGUUGCACCAAUAAACUGUAUUUCAUAAUAUUUAACAAUACCCUAUUUAUAAAGUAACAUUUUUAUAUUGAACAGUCUAUUGUCUUUAAUUAUACAGAUCAACAUAUCCAUAAAUAAA